UUUUUUAUCUGCUUUGAAUCUCUCACAGGUACUAUCAAUUUUCAUAUCUCUUGAGGAAUCAAAUCUGGUGUACGGAUUCCUUUUAUGCACUGUGUGGUUGCUUAGAAAAUGAGGAAAACAAGAAAAGAAGGAGAAAAUUUUGAUGUACUUGUGUGUUUUCAUUUUUCCUUUGCCUCAUCCUUAAUUAGUGACCUUACUCUCUGGAUGCAAUUCAUAUCGAAUGAUAGCUUUUACCUUACCUUCAUGCAAUAGAGAAUUUAUUCCUACCUAGAUGUAGUUACACAAAAAUAAAAUAUUAAUAUAAAUAUCACUGAUAAUAAUAAUAAUAAUAAUAAUAAAAUUCUUCUUGCUUCCACAAUAAAUCUAGUUGCAGUGAUCUCUUCAAAUGAAACUACAAAUCUCAUAAAAUUUAAUAUACCAUUUUAUAGAUCAUUGAAGUUUUAGAUUGUGAAUGGUCUUUGGCUGGUUUAUACAAAACUUGUGAAUAGACUAUAUGUAUGUUGGCCAUAUAUAAUUCAUUUGACCUUGUAACGUGUAAUAAGCAGUAAUAAAGCCAAGAUAGAACCUUGAAGGUUGUUUCAAUUAAAUAUAGAACGUCAUUUUUGGACUUAUAAAUAGGUCCUAAAUUCACAUUUUAGGUUGAAAUUAUGAAGAAAACUUUCCCUGAUGUUCUGCAAAGAUUUUCUACAUAUAGCUUGAAUUUCUAUUGAUAUUGCAACUAGGACGAGUGAUGUAGAGAGAAUGAAAUGAAGCAAUCCAAGUUCAAGAGGAUUUGUGUCUUCUAUGGGACUAGCCACGGCAAGAAGAGCAGCUACCAAGCAAUCCACAUUUACUUUUCUCUCUUCACUUCAUUAUCUUGGACUAGCCGGGGCAAGUAGAGCAGCUACCGUGCAAUCCACAUUUGUGUCUUCCGAAGAAGAAUUAUUUUUAGUGGUUUUUCUUGUCUUAAUAACUAAAUUCAAUUAACGGGGAAAAUAAAUGGUAUAUUGGCUUGAGGUGAUGCUUAUCAGUGUUGGCUUAAAAUCUCUGUGAAUCAAGGAACCCCUCUGUAGAAUAUGCAGUGCAAUAUGCUGUAGCAGCAUCCCUUGUGACAUUGGAAAAGGAUAAGAACGAUUUGAUACACAAACUACUUUUACAAGGUCUUGACAUUAGAAUCUUAGGUUGCAAUGACUUCUAUUCAUAUCAGAAUUAGGUGGGGUUUAUCAAGUGAGACCGGAAAAGGGAAAGUUGGCAGUGGUUUUGAUGUUAGUUCUGCAGUUUACGGUAGUCAACGAUAUGUUCUCUUUUCACCAAAAGUGCUUUCUUCUGCUCCGGCUUCUCUCUCUCUCUAUACAUACAGUUACAUUUUGUCCUCGUAAAGUAUUAUUGAAUUCUUACCUUGGCCCUUAAAGUUUAUUUUUCCCAAUUUGGUCUCUAAACUAUAUGAUCAUUCCCAAUUUGGCUCAAUUCCCAACCGUCGUCCAAAUUAUUGACAUAAAUUGGCACGUGGCACUCUUUGGCCCCACAUGGCAUAUUAAAUAACCAUUCAUUUUGGUACAUGUAUGAUAGCAUUAGUGUUACACUUUGGCAUUACAAUUCAUCAAUGAUCAUUGAUCAAAACAUAGCAUGAAAACAUUCAACUUCGUCAGAUAUCAAGAGCUCUGUGGCAGAGCCUAUGAUGGGAAUGAGCUGAGAACAUGAAAAAUAAAAGAAGGUUAGGAAGUUAUAGAAGACUGUUUUUGAUAGUGCCCUUUUGGGGACAACAUUGUAAUGAGGGCUACUUAAUUAGGUGUAUUUUUCUACAAACUUUCACUAGAAUUUGUCUUAUUUAUGAGUUUUCCUUACUUGGAAUUGCAGGAUGCUGUUUUUUUUAAUGAAUAAAAUUGUAGGAUGUAGUGAGAGGAAAAGCGUUAGAGGAAGUCAUUGGUGAUGUGCUGAAUGGCAAAUGGGACCAUGAGAGGACUACACAGAAGAGAAUGUACUGUUUUUUCCAUAGAGUUGCUACAUAUUGAAUCCUUAGUAGUUGGUAUUGUUUUUUCCUUAACAGCAUUACUAGAAAAUUGACUUUUUGCAUCUUCUUUUUUUUUUGGCGACCGUCUGUUUGGCCGUGGCAAAAAAUAUAUUUGCGACAACAUUAUGAGAUGCAAGUCAGGGGUGGUAAAAGGUCCAGUUUAUGAGUGGGCUUUAUAUUUGCCCAAUUUAUAUUUGCCCCCAUUUAUUUCUCCUAUUGUCUUUUAUUUAUAUUUUCCCUAGCCAGGCAUGCUCAAACGCUUUCUCUCUCUCUCUCUCUCUCUCUCUCUCUCUCCGAGGUUCUAUUCUUGUUGCUCACAUUGCAUAUAUAUACAGAUAUAGAUAUAUAAUAUAAAAACCAAGCAUGCAAGAAUCAGCUGUUGUAUAGAACAUCUUGUCAAAUCGAUU